rnacentral:rRNA from 1 species
GUGGGGAAUAUUGCACAAUGGAGGAAACUCUGAUGCAGCGACGUCGCGUGAACGAUGAAGGUCUUCGGAUCGUAAAGUUCUGUCCUAGGGGAAGAUAGUGACGGUACCUUAGGAGGAAGCCCCGGCUAACUACGUGCCAGCAGCCGCGGUAACACGUAGGGGGCGAGCGUUGUCCGGAAUUACUGGGUGUAAAGGGUGCGUAGGCGGCCUUGCAAGUCAGAUGUGAAAGAUCAUGGCUUAACUGUGGUAAGCAUUUGAAACUGUAAGGCUUGAGUGCAGGAGAGGAGAGUGGAAUUCCUAGUGUAGCGGUGAAAUGCGUAGAUAUUAGGAAGAAUAUCAGUGGCGAAGGCGGCUCUCUAGACUGCAACUGACGCUGAGGCACGAAAGCGUGGGGAGCAAACAGGAUUAGAAACCCUAGUAGUCC